ACCGAUGCAAACUCCGAAUACCGAUGAGUGAUAUCCGGGAGACAGACUGCGGGUGCUAACGUCCGUAGUCAAGAGGGAAACAACCCAGACCGCCAGCUAAGGCCCCAAAUUCCUAGUUAAGUGGGAAACGAUGUGGGAAGGCUUAGACAGCUAGGAGGUUGGCUUAGAAGCAGCCACCCUUUAAAGAAAGCGUAAUAGCUCACUAGUCGAGUCGGCCUGCGCGGAAGAUGUAACGGGGCUAAAACUAUAUGCCGAAGCUGCGGAUGUAUACUAUGUAUACGUGGUAGGGGAGCGUUCUGUAAGCCGAUGAAGGUGUAUUGAGAAGUAUGCUGGAGGUAUCAGAAGUGCGAAUGCUGACGUGAGUAACGACAAAACGGGUGAAAAACCCGUUCGCUGAAAGACCAAGGGUUCCAGUCCAACGUUAAUCGGGGCUGGGUGAGUCGACCCCUAAGGCGAGGCCGAGAGGCGUAGUCGAUGGGAAAUUGGUUAAUAUUCCAAUACUUCUGUGUAAUGCGAUGAGAGGACGGAGAAAGUUAAGUCAGCCUGGCGUUGGUUGUCCAGGUGAAAGGCAGUAGGCAUGCAUCUUAGGCAAAUCCGGGGUGCUCUAUGCUGAGAGCUGAUAGCAAGCUAGUUUACUAGCGAAGUGGCUGAUACUAUGCUUCCAGGAAAAGUCUCUAAGCUUCAGUUACACAGGAAUCGUACCCUAAACCGACACAGGUGGUCAGGUCGAGUAGACCAAAGCGCUUGAGAGAACUCUGCUGAAGGAACUAGGCAAAAUGGUACCGUAACUUCGGGAGAAGGUACGCUGCUGACGGUGAUAGGACUUGCUCCUUGAGCUAUUGGCAGCCACAGAAACCAGGCCCCUGCAACUGUUUAUUAAAAACAUAGCACUCUGCAAACACGAAAGUGGACGUAUAGGGUGUGAUGCCUGCCCGGUGCUGGAAGGUUAAUUGAUGGGGUUAGCGUAAGCGAAGCUCUUGAUCGAAGCCCCAGUAAACGGCGGCCGUAACAAUAACGGUCCUAAGGUAGCGAAAUUCCUUGUCGGGUAAGUUCCGACCUGCACGAAUGGCAUAAUGAUGGGGGG
rnacentral:rRNA from 1 species